rnacentral:rRNA from 1 species
AUUGAACGUUGGCGGCAGGCCUAACACAUGCGAGUCGAGCGAGCGGCGGACGGGUGAGUAAUGUAUGGGGACUGCCCGAUAGAGGGGGAUAACUACUGGAAAAGGUGGCUAAUACCGCAUACUAUCGGAUAACCCAUAUGGGAUUAGCUAGUAGGUGGGGUAAAGGCUCACAUAGGCGGCGAUCUCUAGCUGGUCUGAGAGGAUAAUCAGCCACACGUGGACUGAGACACGGUCCAUAGUCGUACGGAGGAAGCAGUGGGGAAUCUUGCACAAUGGGCGCAAGCCUGAUGCAGCCAUGCGGCGUGUAUGAAGAAGGCCUUAGGGUUUUAAAGUACUUUCAGCGGGGAGGCGUUACCCGCAGAAGAAGCACCGGCUAGCCCCGUGCCAGCAGCCGCGGUAAUUC